rnacentral:rRNA from 1 species
CCCCUAGAUGUUCUGGGCCGCACGCGCGCUACACUGAACAGUUCAACAAGUCUUAACCUUGGCCGAUAGGUCUGGGUAAUCUUUGAACGCUGUUCGUGAUUGGGAUAGACCUUUGCAAUUAUGGGUCUUCAACGAGGAAUUCCUAGUAAACGCAAGUCAUCAGCUUGCAUUGAUUACGUCCCUGCCCUUUGUACACGCCGCCCGUCGCACCUACCGAUUGAAUGGUCCGGUGAAAUCUCGGGACGGCGGCUUGGUCGCUUGCGUCCGACUGCUGAAACUUGAUUAAACCAUAUCAUUUAGAGGAAGGUGAAGUCGUANCA